UUUCUUGUUUAGAUUCUCAAACCUUCAUAGAAAUUAGGAUCUUAGAAUAAAAAACAAAGAUCUGAUCGAUCACAGAUUUCUGUAGAUCUGAAGAGCUCCACGUUUCUGUACAGGAGACAUGGAGGAGAUUGAUUGACAGGGUCUCCAGCCAAUCAGGACACAGGUGUGCUGUUUAAAAAAAGCAGCAUAAUCGCUCUAAAAGAAUGAGCUAAACCGGUAAAGAUGAACUGCGACGUAGAAAGAGAAGACUGUAGCGCCGUAGUUUGCCCACCCCUCUUUUUGAGCGAUCAUGUUGCUUUUUUUAAACAGCACACCCUGUUCUGUGUCCUGAUUGGCUGGAGACCCUGUCAAUCAAUUUCCUCAGUCCGUGUCCCCUGUACAGAAACCUGGAGUUCUUCAGAUCUACAGAAAUCUGUGAUCCAUCAGAUCUUUGUUUUUUAUUCUAAGAUCUAAUUUCUAUGAAGGUUUGUGAAUUUAAACAAGAGAAAAUGAUGAAAAUGUUCAUGUUUGUCUGAGAAAAGUGUAGAAAGUGCAGUGAGGAGUUUUACUGCCAUGAACGUCUGACUAGAAAAAGGUUUUUACAUGGUCUGUGCAUGUUGUUAGCAUGAUCUCACUGUGAUCUCAGUGUGUCAUUGGCGUGGUCUCAGUGUAUUUGUAGCGUGUUCUUAGCAUGUUGUUUUCUGGUCUUGGUGCUUUGUUAGUGUGGUCUCAGUAUGUUGUUAGUAUGUUCUUAGCAUGUUGUUAGCGUGGUCUCUCCUCUUGAAGAUCCCUGCUGCUUCCUUUUGGGAAGACCAGCGUCUGACCACGGGUAUUGAACCUGCAGGCCCCAGCAGCUCCGGUCUCCCUGGACGAACCAGCUCCACUCCAACGACGACGCAGACUUGUGCUGCAGCCGGACAGUCUGGGCCCAGGCCCCGCCCACUCCAGAGACGAGGUGGGAGGGGUCCUUCCCCUCUAGAUCCUCCGCUCGUCACGGAGCCCCUCCACGCCAAACGGCAGGUCGUUUCUGCCGUUCCCCAUGAGGGGCGUCAGGGGGAGGGUGAUGAAGAGGACUUUGUCCCUGUGAGAGACCCCGGCCCCCACAGCUCUGCUGCACACCUCCCCAGACCUGCUGAGGAGCAGGAGCAGGCCUCAUCCAGCAGGAGGGAGCUCUGCAGCAGCGCAGGACGACCAGCAAAGACCGUCGGUGGCCUGCUGGAGCAGCUGAAGGCCGCCGUCGCCGGGCGAGGCAGUGUUGCAGAACAGCUUCUCGUUGGUCUGGAGCAGAUCUUGUCUUCACCACAGGUCGGGAUUGAACCGUCCGCCCCAUCAGCUGAAGGAGCAGGAGUCGUGGGCCUGCAGGGGGAGCUGGAGAGCGCUCAGGCCAGACUGCAGCAGCUGCAGGAGGACCUCGGUGAACUACGGAAAGCCCUGCAGGACACACAGAGCCAGCUGAAGGACGUGAAGGCAGAGAACGCCAUCCUGAAGACAGAUCUGGAGCUCCACAGACAGAAGCUGCUGGACGGCGAGAGAGUCAACGGUGAGCUGGCCUCGCUCGCCCAGCACCGCCUGAAGGAGAUGGAGAAGCUGCAGAGCCUCCUUCAGAGCGCCGCGGACACUCCCACCGACCGGAUCAAAGGCUUCCUCAGCUCUCUGAGGCAGGCGGAGCCCUGCACUGAGCACGUGCAGACAGAGCUCAGGUCACCUCCUCCUGGAGGCGGGUCCGGCCAAAGCAACCGAGAGAGCACAGGCCUGCUGCGCGGGUGUGCGCGGCGCAUCCGCUCCCCGUCUCUCUGUGACUCCGCCUCCUUGUGUUCCGCCUGGAGCGCCAGGUCCUCCUCCACCUUUGACACCAGGGACGAGGCGGCGUUCAGGGACGGCCUGGCGGCUCUGGACGCCAGCAUCGCCAGCCUGCAGAGAACCUUCCAGCUGGAUCUGAGGAGAUGUUGAGCCGCCGGGUCGACCCGGAACCGUGGCGGUCCAGAUCUUCUGUAACGUGUAACUUCUGAUUUGAAAUAAAGCUUUAUUUGACUGUCAAUCAAUCUGUGGAUUCUAUGUGUAUGUGUCUAUGUGUUGUAUGUUUAGUGUGUAUGUUGGGGGUGUGGUGGUGUAUUUGUGUGUUGGUGCUUGUCUGGUAGUGUGUGUAUCGGUGUAUGUUUGUCUGCUGGGGUGUUCUGGUUGUGUUUAUGUGUGUAUUGGUGUUAUGGCUGGUACGUGUGUAUUACUGUGUGUGUGUGUGUACUUAACUGAUUGUUUUUUUCUUCCAAGUAGCGCAAAGUUUGUUGUUGUUUGUCAAAUCUUCAAGGUUAAACAAUGACAGCAGUCACAGACAAAAAAUGAGUUUUGUUUUGGAAAAUUUCUGAUUAAAAAAAAAAACACGCUCUAUGAAACCGAUGUUUGCCAACGGACAAUUAAUAACUAUUGUCAAAAAUAUUUGAACAAGCCGCGGGUCUUCUCUGAAGGCCACCACCUACAGUUUGCAUGGAUGGUGAAUAAACGUGGAAAAAAUGAGACAAGUCGUGGUCAUUACAUGAAAUUUUUAUAAAUGUGUCACGAAUGAACCACGUUAAAACCACGGAAGAAGUACGAAUAAACUACGCAAAGAACAUGAACCAUGGAAGAUAAUUGGCUGUUAAUAUACAAUUCAAUAGUAAUUUGUGCGUCAAUUACGUAUUUGAAUGUGAUAUGUGUGCUGUAUAUGUGAUCUAAAAGUUAUACAUAGGAAAUUCACGUAAGGACUCAUCGGUUAAAACCUGCAGUGGACAUCUGCAUAGGUUGAAGAAUGACAAAAAUGAUCACGCUUAAAUCACGAAAGACCGAACUUUUAUACGUAGAAAAUGCACAAAAUGCCCGUAGUGGCUGUGUGACACUGCCUUCAUACAGAACAGGACGCUUCCAUCACUGGCUGACAGUUCUGGCUGCAGCCUGUAGAGGACGCCUGAAGGCAGACUUCUGUGGUUUUGGUCUUUACUUUGAGGCUUUGGCUUCCAGAUUUAGGGUCUCAGACUUUAACAACUGGUUUAUAUAUAUAUAUAUAUAUAUAUAAUUCUUCUUUUUUUUAAUUAAAACCCUUUAUCGGGCAAGUGACUGUUUUUGGUAAUUUCCGCACAUGUUAUCACGCCCAUCCCCUGUCUCAGUGAGUUCAAGAAUCAUGUGAUCUUU
ensembl:lncRNA